rnacentral:rRNA from 1 species
AUUGAACGCUGGCGGCAGGCCUAACACAUGCAAGUCGAGCGGAUGAAGGGAGCUUGCUCCUGGUUUCAGCGGCGGACGGGUGAGUAAUGCCUAGGAAUCUGCCUGGUAGUGGGGGAUAACGUCCGGAAACGGGCGCUAAUACCGCAUACGUCCUGAGGGUGAAAGUGGGGGAUCUUCGGACCUCACGCUAUCAGAUGAGCCUAGGUCGGAUUAGCUAGUUGGUGGGGUAAAGGCCUACCAAGGCGACGAUCCGUAACUGGUCUGAGAGGAUGAUCAGUCACACUGGAACUGAGACACGGUCCAGACUACUACGGGAGGCAGCAGUGGGGAAUAUUGGACAAUGGGCGAAAGCCUGACCCAGCCAUGCCGCGUGUGUGAAGGAGGUCUUCGGAUUGUAAAGCACUUUAAGUUGGGAGAAAGGGCAGUAAGUUAAUACCUUGCUGUUUUGACGUUACCGACAGAAUAAGCACCGGCUAACUUCGUG